CAGUUCCCUUAUCUUGGAGUCUGUCCUUCCUGGUUUGUGUUGAAUGUUCUCAUAAUUGAUAUCUAAGGACAGCUAUGCAACGAGAGGGCAAGGGAUAGCCUCACCGAGAGAUCCCAAUUCCCUGGUCUCCUCUGCCAGCCACUUCUUUCCCACAGAGAAACUUCAGGCCCACUGAGAUCCAUCUCCUGGCUUCUCCUCUGCCCACAAGCAUGCAGUCCCCUUCAUCCCCCUGCCUCACACAGAUUCAUCAAGCCUCCCCAGAGAGUUUUUAAGGUACAGAAAUGCUUCUCACACUUCCACAGAAAACAUUACACACACAUACAUACAUACAUACAGAGAGAGAGAAAGGGGGGGGGGAAUAAAAAGAAAGUGAGAAAGAAAGCAAAGAAGGAAGAAAGAAAAGGAAGGAAGGAAAACAGGAAGGAAGGAAGCCCUAGGAAGACAACUUCUUCAAGCACACCUCUUUCCUUCCAGGAGGCUUGGCAGGACAGUUCCAUCCAGGAAGCCUGAUCUGGAGGACAGUGGGCAACCCCUAGUCACUGCACACCCUCCGUCUCCUGCACUCCUUCAGUUCACCAUUAGCACCAUGGCAGCACAGAAGAGCUUCUUGCAAAUGGAAUGGAAGGUGCUUGAGGCUGCAGCCACCUGAGGGGCUCAAUGCUGAAGCACAGAGAGCUCAGCCUGGCUCCUUUGGGAACAUGGAUCCUUCUAUUAAGCAAUAACUUCAGUCUUGGCCAUCUGUGCCCAGACCUGCUUUGGGCUUUAGUGUCCUGACACCUUUCCUUGUUUCUGUCCCCUGAGGAUUUCUCUCAUUUUCCAGAAAAGCCAGUCCUUAGCUGCUCUGUGGCUUACUGCUUCUGUCUGAGAAGAAUCUCAAAACCUUUUCCUUCUUCCCUCCACCCUGCUAAAUUAUUAAGUUUGAUGUCAUAAUACAAGGGACCAGCACUCUGCCUGAAGUUUCUGGACAAGGCAAAACCUUUCUGUUGAUCAAAAGAGUGAGCUCUGAAUGGAGAGUGCACCAGGCUCUUGAUUGUGGUGAGUGUUUUACACAAAUAUAUGUGAGCUGC
rnacentral:lncRNA from 1 species